GCUAUUGGAGUUCGAUUAAGCCAUGCGAGUCGAGAGUCCUCGGGACUCGGCGUACCGCUCAGUAACACGUGGGUAACCUGCCCUAUGCUGGGGAAUAACCUCGGGAAACUGAGAACAAUGCCCCAUAGCCCACUACGCCUGGAACGGUGAGUGGGUCAAAGCUCCGGCGGCAUAGGAUGGGCCUGCGCCGUAUCAGGUUGUAGGGGGUGUAAAGUACCCUCUAGCCAUCAACGCGUACGGGUGUUGGGAGACAUUGCCCGGAGAUGGAUUCUGAGACACGAAUCCAGACCCUACGGGGUGCAGCAGGCGCGAAAACUUGGCAAUGCGAGAAAUCGUGACCAGGGAACUCCAAGUGCGUAGGGUAAGACCUACGCUUUUCUUGACUCUUCAAAGGUCUUGGAAUAAGGGGUGGGUAAGGACGGUGCCAGCCGCCGCGGUAAUACCGGCGCCUCAAGUGGUAGUCGCUUUUAUUGGGCCUAAAACGUCCGUAGCCGGUCUGGUGCAUUCGUGGGUAAAUCAACCCGCUCAACGGGUUGAAUUCUGCGAGCACGGCCAGACUUGGGACCGGGAGAGGUGUGGGGUACUCUCAGGGUAGGGGUAAAAUCCUGUCAUCCUGAGAGGACCACCUGUUGCGAAGGCGCCACACUAGAACGGAUCCGACGGUCAGGGACGAAACCUAGGGGCACGAACCGGAUUAGAUACCCGGGUAGUCCUAGGUGCAAACGCUGUGGACUUGAUGUUGGGGGCGCUCCGAGCGCUCUCAGUGUCGAAGCGAAGGUGAUAAGUCCACUGCCUGGGGAGUACGGUCGCAAGGCUGAAACUUAAAGGAAUUGGCGGGGGAGCACUGCAACCUGAGGAUUGUGCGGUUU
rnacentral:rRNA from 1 species